rnacentral:rRNA from 1 species
AUGGCGUGCGGUUCUACUUCAGGCAGUGGAAUCGCCAAGCGCAAGCCGUCCACUCCAUGCUCAGCUUCAAGGUGUCUCCGGUACUGGAAGGAAUUCCCUCCUCAUGCUUGGGAAAGGGAGGUUGCUGAAGAUCUACUAGGUUCGUCUUGCCUGGUGGAUAUGGUGGAUCCGGAGACCAGUGCUCGCCGUGACUUGUCUGCGUUCAAGUUGUCGGCUUGGACGGCGGACCCGGACGCCAUCCCCUCCCUCCGCUGGCUUGCUAUCCCGGAGCCUGGCCUAUCAUCGCCAUUGUUGGAGCCUACCUUGCUACAGUACAAGAUCCUGAUUCAUCUGGACUCGGUCUCCGAUCUCUCCGGCAGGGACGAGCCGUUCUUCUUGGGGGUCUCCUCGGACAGCGGUCAGAGCGGGCUCCCGUCGGACGGGAGGAUCAGUGGGUGCAGUGGUGGUGCGGCGGCGACGCCUUGUAGCCGGCCAUGGAGGUUUGGAGUGCGGGAUGUGAGAGGUUCGGUGCCGCCACCGAGGGCUCACGGCGUAGUGGCGUCUCCGGCGUGCUCGUCGGCCGGCGCUGAUUGGCGCCUUCCGCCGAUGAUUGCCGCUGAGGGAGGAUCUGCUGUGGGGUCCACGAUGCCGGUCAGGGACAGGGACAGGCUCUCCGUCAGGGUCUCGGCUUUUGACCGCUUGACCAUGCAGGCGGGGCCGCAGUCAGCCACAAGGAGAAGUGCGAAUUCAAAUUCGAAUGGAGGGUGCGUAGCGUUCAGCGAUGGUUCUGCUAGACAGUUGAUGCACCCCACGCGCCAGGGACUGGUGGGACCGGAGGUUCAGAGAGAGGUCGCCCCGCCCGUUUUGGUGGUUGCAGAUGAGGUUCAGAGAGAGGUGGCCCCGCCUGCGGUUCCGGCGCCAGCUGAAAGAGCACAAGAUCUGGUCUUAGCAGAAUCAGGCCAGCCUGAUGCUCUUUCUUUCAGUCGCUCGUGUCGCCCUCCCCGCGGGCGGCCCGGGCGAAAACCUAGCCCCCACACCAACCCUCCCUCCCAGAUCUCCCGCUCCCUCGCCGCCGCCGGCAAGCGCCGCCAGGCAAAGCCCGCGUGGCGUCGGCGGCGGCGGGGCCUCCUUUUCUCCCUCUCGCGAGGUCAGGGGGGCGCUCGACCUUGGGGAGGCGUGAGGGUGUGGCGCGCGCGGCGAGCAGGCGCCGGUGGUCGCGGGGAGUGCGGCGAGUAG